AUCAGGAUUGUUGUGUUCCUUUUGAGAAAAGGAGGCAGGUCUGAGACGGAGGGCAAAGGUCAAGGAAAAGUUAUCGGAAAUGUUAAUGUUUUUAAACAGAGAAAAUGAAUUGACACAUUAGUUCUGUGAUGAGGAUUUAAUAAAAUGGCAUUUGAGAUGUAUUUCUUGUACAAAUAUAGUGAGCAAAACAAUAUUCUAUAGGAGUAGGACUUUCCAUUUCUAAAGCGUUGGAUUAAAAUAGCUCUAAUUUAUUCAAGGAUUGAUGGACUUUCCUUCUCUCUUCUUCCUCCCACAGGUUUAUGGCCAUUUCAUUGCUCACUGUAUCUCCAUCAAAGGGUGACUGGGGUUGGGGGGCCUGGGUGUGGGGAGGAGAGGAAGGAAACUAGAAUCAGCAAUUUCCAUUACUUGCUAGCAACUCUGGUGAAUAUGUUUAGUGGGGGAAAUGCUGAAAAUCAGUUAUUUGGAUUAUCUGAGCCUGUCAACCAUCCAUGUUACACCCUCUUCCCAGUAGCAGAGACUCAUGAGAAUUGGCCAUAAUUGCAUUUGCAGUGAUGGCAAUUGAAACAAGAUUGUUUUCAAUGACUGUGUGGUUCUGACUGAACUAUUUUUUUUUUCUCUUUCAAACAGCAUGUAUCCUAACAAGGCAUUUUGAGGAAAGAGACAGAGCCCACUGUAUCCUCACCUGUUACUUAUCUACCAGUCUUUCAGGGAAAGAUAGUUAAUCUAGACAGAACAAGACAAUUUUGUUUUAAUCUGGUAAUAGAAUAGCUUAUUAGGGAUGCCUAGUAGCAGAAAGGCAUAAUAUAAUCAGUAAAAGGACAUAAAGGUCACCUGGGUGGCUUGAUCGGUUAAGGGUCCCACUCUUGAUUUUGGCUCAAGGCAUGAAUCCAUGAUUCGAGCUCCGUGUCGGGCACAGUGAUGAUAGUGCGGAGCCUGCUUGGGGUCCUCUCUCUCUCCCUCUCUCUGCCCCUCCCCUGCUCUCUCUCAAUAAAUAAACAAACAAACAAACAAACACACAAACACACACACACAUGGUGAGUGAGAAAGAGAGAGAGAGACAGAGCAGGGAAGGGACAGAUAGAGAAGGAGAGUGAGAGAAUCCCAACCAGGGUCUGCACUGUCAGCACAGGGCCUGUACUGUCAGCACAGGGCCUGUCUCAGGACUCCCAACUCGCCAACCAUGAAAUCAUGACCUGAGCCAAAAUCAAGAGUCAGAAGCUUAACCAAGUGAGUCACCCAAGCGCCCUUCAAUAAAUAUUUUGAAUAAAUAGUUGUUGAAUUCAAAAUAAUUGAAUAUUUUCAUAAUGCCAGUGUUAUAACUCUAUCUUUAAAAUCUCUGUGCUGUGACUGUUCAUACACUGGGUUUUAACCAAGUCACUGCCAAGAUGAAUGGUUUUCUCUUGGAAUUACAAUGCUGGGUCGGAAAAACCUUAGAAUAAAAUUCAAAAGAGUACGGUUCUGAGUCAGACCACCACUUAUUUCAUUUAGUGAUUUUUGAGACAAAUCCCACAGACUCUGUGUCAGUUCAGCUAUCAAACGAAUAUACAAGGACAAAUCCUAUGCUUAAUGUUUUAUACAUAUUUUUGUAUUCAUGAUUUUACCUUGACACUGAUGUUAACAACCUAUUGAAGGGUUUCAUUGGUAUCAAACACAACUGAAUCUUGACCUAACUAUAGACUGACUGACGUUAAGUAAGCGAAAUGGUCUCCUCAAGAUUCUAUGCCUACGUCUUCAUUUUAAAAUGAGUUCAUAUACUUAUAGUUCAUUUCUCAUCAGAUUGCUGUGAAGUCAAAAGUGAAAAAGCAUGUAAAGUGCCUUGCACAAAGCCAUCAUAUAAAAGGGAGUUAUCUUCAAGUCUCAGCUAUCCCUUUAACAAGGCUCACUCUGCUUUUCUCUUUUUCCAAGGAAAAACACACGUUGUAAAAUAAGCAUUCUUCAAAGACAACCUGAAGACGUCUGGGAAUUCCAAAGGCUGAAAAUUCCAUGAGUUCAUAGAAGCUUUCGCUAAUUCCACAGAUUUAAAGACAAAAGAGAGAGAGUCAACUGUGUGCCCAAACUCAUUUCUGAUGAUUUCUUCCAUCCUACCCUUUCUGCCUCUCUGGGGGUGGCUGUGCCUGUAAAAAACAUUGAAGUUGUCAGGAACAGAGUCUGCUUUCAAGACUGGAAUGUCAGAGUAGAGACUUCUGUUCCUCAGACCAGAAGAGACUUGAUUUGAUUUGUAUUCUCUGAUGUCUCCCCUUGCCUACACUUGGUGCUUCUCUGAUUUAAUUGUUUGGAAGCAGUCACUGGAAGCAAGGCUAUGUGACUCAGCUUUGGUGAUGCAGUCCAGCUGGGGUCUGACAGUCUGAAAUUGUGGCGCACACACCUUUGCUCUGAGCAGAGUCCCCACCACAGCUAUGAAUGGGGGGGUCUGGGAGAGAAACACCCUCUCUUGUCAGAAUGAGCACAACCCCAAAGAAAACAUCACAACCCCGAAGGAAAUUACCGACAUCUUAAGGAAAUGGUUCUGACUGAGGUCUUCCAACAUGCAAUACUAUGUGCUGACUCAGGGAAAACUUAAGGCAACAUGCUGAAAACAUUUACAGGCCCGGAAAAUAACUGGUUUAAUAAUUCAAGAUGCUUUUAAGUUACAAAAAGAAUACUUUAAAACAAAUAAACCUCCCUUUCCAAAAGCCGUGUCGUAGAGUCGGCCACUCUUGAAAUGAAAAAAACAGAGCUUGCCAUCAAAUGCAAAUUCAGCCUCUGAAACUCCUCAACAAUGGACAAAGAACCUCCACACCCCACACCCCUAAUCGACAGAUGGAAAUAAAUAUCUGUUUCAGGACUUCAACACAGUUAGAUGAAAAGUGAAAUAUUUAAUCAAUUCCUCAGAUGUAUUUUCGUCUGAGUGUGCUAUAUGUCAGCUCUUCCAAGUGUUCCACAUUCCUGGAUCAUUUUAGGAGGGUUUUUUUUUUGUUUGUUUUUGUUUUUGCAUUGCUACACAGCAGGUACUGGGAUACGGACCAAAGUUUCUUAACCUGGGCAAGUAUUCACACUUUGGGCUGAAUAAUUCUUUGCCGAGGAGACGAUCCAGGCAUUGUAGGAUGUUUUAGAGCAUCCUUAGUCACUUUUCACUAGAUUCCAGCAGCACUCCCCCAGUUGUGACAACCAAAAUAUCUCCAGACACUGUGAAAUAACUCCUGAGGGAGCAAAGGUGCCACUAGUUAAGAACACACUUUACUUACUUUUAUUAAUUCGAUGCCAAAUGCACUCGAUCAGGUAGGUGCUAUUAUUGCCCUCCUAUUUCUUCAUUAUUCAUAAGUAAUGAGAACAUAGCAUAGAGGGCAUUGAGUGAGCUGUUCAAUUUCAUUCUAGUGAGUGGCAAAAAGAAAAGAAAAGAAAAGAAAAGAAAAGAAAAGAAAAGA